AACGAACGCUGGCGGCGUGCCUAACACAUGCAAGUCGAACGGGAAAACCCGCAAGGGUGAGUACAGUGGCGCACGGGUGCGUAACACGUGGGUAAUCUGCCCAGAAGCCCGGAAUAACUCCCCGAAAGGGGUGCUAAUGCCGGAUGAGACCACGGGGACUUCGGUUCCUGGGGGAAAAGGUGGCCUCUGUAUACAAGCUAUCACUUCUGGAUGAGCCCGCGGCCCAUCAGCUAGUUGGCGGGGUAAUGGCCCACCAAGGCUACGACGAGUAGCUGGUCGGAGAGGAGGAUCAGCCACACUGGAACUGAGACACGGGCAAGACUCCUCCGGGAGGCAUCAGUGGGGAAUCUUGCGCAAUGGGCGAAAGCCUGACGCAGCAACGCCGCGUGUGUGAUGAAGGUCUUCGGAUCGUAAAGCACUGUCGGGAGGGACGAAUAAGGGCCGGGUGAACAACCCGGUUCGACGACGGUACCUCCAGAGGAAGCACCGGCUAACUCUGUGCCAGCAGCCGCCGUAAUAC
rnacentral:rRNA from 1 species